rnacentral:lncRNA from 1 species
ACCAUUGUCCCUUCUUUUGUAUACAUGAUAUCCAUCUUCAUCAAUUGUGGUAUUUUCUACAAACUUCUUUGGAAAGUGUUUUGUACAUCUACCAUUAUGCAUUCAAGGAGAGGAUUUGCUAGCAGAACCGCACGUGCCAUGUAUCAUGAAAUUCUUCACGGUCUUAUAAUAAUACGGAUCGGCCGAUUCAUCAAGUAUUUCAAUAGAAAUUAUUUUAUCUAUAUCUCAAAUAUUUGGAUAUUUAUUAUGAUGAAAGAGCAAUAUGUGUGCAUGAGGCCACC